AAUAAGCUAUUUAAGAGCGUAAGGUGGAUGCCUUGGCUCUCAGAGGCGAUGAGGGACGUGAUAAGCUGCGAUAAGCUACGGGGAUUGGCACACACAAUUUGAUCCGUAGAUUUCCGAAUGGGGCAACCCACUAUAUUGAAGAUAUAGUAUCCGUUAAGGAAGCAAACCCAGGGAACUGAAACAUCUAAGUACCUGGAGGAAUAGAAAACAAAAGUGAUUCCGCUAGUAGUGGCGAGCGAACGCGGAACAGCCCAAACCAAAAUUGUUUCGGCAAUUUUGGGGUUGUAGGACCACGAC
rnacentral:rRNA from 1 species